GGCGAACGCUGGCGGCGUGCCUAAUACAUGCAAGUAGAACGCACGGUUUAUACCGUAGCUUGCUACACCAUAGACUGUGAGUUGCGAACGGGUGAGUAACGCGUAGGUAACCUGCCUGGUAGCGGGGGAUAACUAUUGGAAACGAUAGCUAAUACCGCAUAAUAUUGAUUAUUGCAUGAUAAUUGAUUGAAAGAUGCUAUUGCAUCACUACCAGAUGGACCUGCGUUGUAUUAGCUAGUAGGUGAGGUAACGGCUCACCUAGGCGACGAUACAUAGCCGACCUGAGAGGGUGAUCGGCCACACUGGGACUGAGACACGGCCCAGACUCCUACGGGAGGCAGCAGUAGGGAAUCUUCGGCAAUGGACGAAAGUCUGACCGAGCAACGCCGCGUGAGUGAAGAAGGUUUUCGGAUCGUAAAGCUCUGUUGUAAGAGAAGAACGGGUGUGAGAGUGGAAAGUUCACACUGUGACGGUAUCUUACCAGAAAGGGACGGCUAACUACGUG
rnacentral:rRNA from 1 species